rnacentral:rRNA from 2 species
GCAAGUCGAGCGAACAGAUGAGAAGCUUGCUUCUCUGAUGUUAGCGGCGGACGGGUGAGUAACACGUGGGUAACCUACCUAUAAGACUGGGAUAACUCCGGGAAACCGGGGCUAAUACCUGAUAAUAUUUUGAACCGCAUGGUUCAAUAGUGAAAGACGGCUUCGGCUGUCACUUAUAGAUGGACCCGCGCCGUAUUAGCUAGUUGGUAAGGUAAUGGCUUACCAAGGCAACGAUACGUAGCCGACCUGAGAGGGUGAUCGGCCACACUGGAACUGAGACACGGUCCAGACUCCUACGGGAGGCAGCAGUAGGGAAUCUUCCGCAAUGGGCGAAAGCCUGACGGAGCAACGCCGCGUGAGUGAUGAAGGUCUUAGGAUCGUAAAACUCUGUUGUUAGGGAAGAACAAAUUUGUUAGUAACUGAACAAGUCUUGACGGUACCUAACCAGAAAGCCACGGCUAACUACGUGCCAGCAGCCGCGGUAAUACGUAGGUGGCAAGCGUUAUCCGGAAUUAUUGGGCGUAAAGCGCGCGUAGGCGGUUUCUUAAGUCUGAUGUGAAAGUCCACGGCUCAACCGUGGAAGGUCAUUGGAAACUGGGGAACUUGAGUGCAGAAGAGGAGAGUGGAAUUCCAUGUGUAGCGGUGAAAUGCGCAGAGAUAUGGAGGAACACCAGUGGCGAAGGCGGCUCUCUGGUCUGUAACUGACGCUGAUGUGCGAAAGCGUGGGGAUCAAACAGGAUUAGAUACCCCUGGUAGUCCACGCCGUAAACGAUGAGUGCUAAGUGUUUAAGGGGGGUUUCCGCCCCCUUAGUGCUGCAGCUAACGCAUUAAGCACUCCGCCCUGGGGGAGUACGACCGCCAAGGUUGAAACUCAAAGGGAAUUGACGGGGACCCGCACAAGCGGUGG